rnacentral:rRNA from 1 species
GAUGAACGCUGGCGGCGUGCCUAAUACAUGCAAGUCGAGCGAACGGACGAGAAGCUUGCUUCUCUGAUGUUAGCGGCGGACGGGUGAGUAACACGUGGAUAACCUACCUAUAAGACUGGGAUAACUUCGGGAAACCGGAGCUAAUACCGGAUAAUAUUUUGAACCGCAUGGUUCAAAAGUGAAAGACGGUCUUGCUGUCACUUAUAGAUGGAUCCGCGCUGCAUUAGCUAGUUGGUAAGGUAACGGCUUACCAAGGCAACGAUGCAUAGCCGACCUGAGAGGGUGAUCGGCCACACUGGAACUGAGACACGGUCCAGACUCCUACGGGAGGCAGCAGUAGGGAAUCUUCCGCAAUGGGCGAAAGCCUGACGGAGCAACGCCGCGUGAGUGAUGAAGAUCUUCGGAUCGUAAAACUCUGUUAUUAGGGAAGAACAUAUGUGUAAGUAACUGUGCACAUCUUGACGGUACCUAAUCAGAAAGCCACGGCUAACUACGUGCCAGCAGCCGCGGUAAUACGUAGGUGGCAAGCGUUAUCCGGAAUUAUUGGGCGUAAAGCGCGCGUAGGCGGUUUUUUAAGUCUGAUGUGAAAGCCCACGGCUCAACCGUGGAGGGUCAUUGGAAACUGGAAAACUUGAGUGCAGAAGAGGAAAGUGGAAUUCCAUGUGUAGCGGUGAAAUGCGCAGAGAUAUGGAGGAACACCAGUGGCGAAGGCGACUUUCUGGUCUGUAACUGACGCUGAUGUGCGAAAGCGUGGGGAUCAAACAGGAUUAGAUACCCUGGUAGUCCACGCCGUAAACGAUGAGUGCUAAGUGUUAGGGGGUUUCCGCCCCUUAGUGCUGCAGCUAACGCAUUAAGCACUCCGCCUGGGGAGUACGACCGCAAGGUUGAAACUCAAAGGAAUUGACGGGGACCCGCACAAGCGGUGGAGCAUGUGGUUUAAUUCGAAGCAACGCGAAGAACCUUACCAAAUCUUGACAUCCUUUGACAACUCUAGAGAUAGAGCCUUCCCCUUCGGGGGACAAAGUGACAGGUGGUGCAUGGUUGUCGUCAGCUCGUGUCGUGAGAUGUUGGGUUAAGUCCCGCAACGAGCGCAACCCUUAAGCUUAGUUGCCAUCAUUAAGUUGGGCACUCUAAGUUGACUGCCGGUGACAAACCGGAGGAAGGUGGGGAUGACGUCAAAUCAUCAUGCCCCUUAUGAUUUGGGCUACACACGUGCUACAAUGGACAAUACAAAGGGCAGCGAAACCGCGAGGUCAAGCAAAUCCCAUAAAGUUGUUCUCAGUUCGGAUUGUAGUCUGCAACUCGACUACAUGAAGCUGGAAUCGCUAGUAAUCGUAGAUCAGCAUGCUACGGUGAAUACGUUCCCGGGUCU